GACACAAUUAAUCCGAUGGAGCUGAGGGAUAGGGCCAGGCAUGUACACAGUAUCCAGCCACUGGAGCAGUCAAAAUGGGUGUGACCCAACAGGAGGCUGGAAAACCGCCUGACACACUUGGCAAGUGGUGUAAUGCUCCAUUCUCAGAAGGAAAUUCUUUAUUGAACCCCUCUAGCAAUGAACUUUUGGCCUGAAGCUGGAGUUUGGAUUGCACAAGCUCAAUAAAUGUGUAAUUAUAAAUACCAGAGACACACCAAGCACCCCCCAUACAAGUAGGACCUGUUUCAGAAGUCGGGAAGGAGCAAACGUGUAGGCAGUGAACCCGCUGCAGGAGCCGGCUGCUCUGAAAGGGAGCAGCCCCUGCUCGGGGUGUGGGCCCUGCAGGAGAUGGCUCCUGCCCAAGAAAGUGUCAUCGGUCAUCCUGGGCAUCGUGGCAGCCAAUCAAGCCAGCAAAGCCAUCAAACUUUCAGCCUCCUCCUCAGCUCCCUGGACACGUCUACUGCCAGGAGAUGUCUCAGCCAAGGAUUUUGAGCCAAGAUAUGGGGGAAAUGGUUUAACCAGAUGUGUGCCCAUGCCUGCGACACUGAACUUUGAGAUGCUGUUAUAUAAAAAGCUUGCCACCUCCCCUGCCUCUCAGCAGCAAGGGAGGACUGAAGACACUGAGCAUGGAAUUCAGCCUGUCUUCUAGCUCCCCAUGUGCAACAAAAUCAUUUACGGACUGAUCUUCUGCUACUUCUCUCAAGCACUGGAAUUUCCAGGUGCAUGUGUUUUCAGGGCACAAGCAACUCCAGGAAAGCUGCUUCUCAAAAGGCAUUUGUGUCACAUAUAGUAUUGAAGUAUUUCACUUCCCCUCCAUGUGACCAGCUACAUGCAUUGGGAGAAAGUAAAUCCAGGUAGGUGGGAUAUGGAAAACCCCUUGUUGUGUCUCGAGGAUCAGCACUGGUCACAGCUUACAGAGAGUCAGGUCGGUGGUAUCGCGAGGAUCCAUCCAGCCCUGCAUUUUUAGGCGGCUUUGAAAAAUGCCCAGACAGAAGUACUUGCGAUUCACAGGGUGGGAUGCCUGGAAGAAUCAACAGAGUGAGUAUUAAGUUGGUGACUAAGCAGAAAAUGAAAAGAAAUCCCAAGAGCGGAGUAUUCCAAAACUCAGAAGAAACAGCAAGUGAAACCAUUUCUUCCUGUGCCUCAAACCCAGUGCAAGGAAGAGAGCUACAUUUGUUCCAGUGAGAUUGUAGUUAAAAGUUCUCAAGGUUUAACUCGUCUUUUUAAUUGCCACUGUCUCAAUUAAAUUGCAUCUGUGAUAACAACAGCCCUCCUGGAGACCCAACAGGAACUUGAACACAUUG